UUAACAGUGAAUCGCCUCUUCAUGUAGCUGCUGUCCAGGAGACAGGACAAAAAUUUUGUAUGACAAAGUGGGCGGCCGUAGGCCUACGGCCGUUACACUUUCUGCAAAUGUUAAUCAAUUAUUACGGCCGUAGGCCGUACUAAUACGUAAAAGAUGACUUAAAAUGACUUAGUCAUACAGCGUCCAUCUUGGUUCGUAAAGUUCAGUUCGUCAUGCAAGGUAAUCAAACUGAACGAUACUGGCCAACUGGUGUCUCUCGCAGAACCAGUGUUGCCACUUUGGAAAUAGCGAAAACCAAGAAGAAAGAAAGCGAAGAAACUAUAGAAGGCGUCACAGGUUCUCAGCUGGGCUAGGUCACGAAGUUUAGUCCAGAGAUGGUCUAGUGAUCAGGACCACGUUAAAAAAUGAAAGCAUUUGCUACACAUCUUUCUCGAUUAUCUUCAGAAUUAAAAGAAUGCACGCAUCUUAAUUGGCUCGUAAAGGUGAUUGCAGUGAACCCCAAUUGAGGCCACAAUGUGUGUUCAGGAAAAUCACCCUUCUACACAACCAUUUCUUCACAGCAGAUUUUCAGCUCUCUUAUUGAUAACUGAAAUUGGUUGCUCCGAAAAACCCUAUGAAAUUUUCCGAAUGGCAGACGUUCGUCAAGAUUAAAAUUUAACACUGCAAACUAUAGAGCGUCGUACCAUGCCGGCGAAAGGCCUGGAGAUCUAUUUGGUCGCAUUGAUGUAACAAUGAAGAACCAUCACUUCUCCUCAUUUUUGUAGUAAUGGAACGGCUCAUUCACAACUAGAGUGCACAGAAUAUGCAAACGUUUGACGUCUUUUCGCCAGAAAUAAUAGCCACUACAGCGGAAACCACUGAACGACGAAGAUUCUGACCUUAGACUCUGGUCCUGCCACUGUGCAAGAGAGGCAUUCGCUACAAAGCUGGAACGUGAUGGUUAGAGGUAUCCAGGGACGGUGGGUCGUGGAUUAUUCUGUAUUCCAUUGAGAUACUUUUAAAUGAACUGAUCAGUAAGCAAAGCCGUGCAUCAUCAAGUAUACCAUUGGGAUACUUUUACCUCAACCGAAGAACACAUUUUCUGUGGAAGACAACAUUAUUCUAGUCGUCACAACAUAAAAAUUUAGAGUAAGUCAUUUUUCCUUUGCCAGUGUGGCCUUACAGCAUGGGAAUGCUGUCUGAUUAGCUGCGUUCGCAUUUCUUGAUGGCAACAAACAAAAAAAGGUCAUUCCUUCAGAAGUGUGUAGCAUUUUAUUGCUCGGAGAUUACAGUGCAGCGGAUAUCAUAUGAACAUGCAGAUCGAAAUUGAUCGAAAUUUUUUACAGGACAGCGGCAGACUUCAAGCUAGCAAGCAUUUUGACGACAUGUUCAGGCACUGGAGGAGGAGUGGGCAAAUGAUCACCGGUGACCUGGAAUCCGUUUUCGUCAGCGAACCAAUUGACAGUAAGGACAAUGCCGUCCGGAGAGGUGUACAAGUAAGAUCCUUUAGAAACUGUGCCAAUAUCUUCAGGCUUAAGUCCUACUUGCUUCUGCUUGCCGCUCUCGGAGACUUUGGUUCCAUCAGCACUAUCAAAGCUUUUGAGGUAUAAAAUGAUAUUUCAGAAUUAAAAGUAGUGCAAGUUGACCAUGAAAUAAGAAGUCCUAACUUACACGAAAGAAUAGCUACUAUCAGCGUUCAUUUCACUAUUGGAGGAGAUAAUUCCCCUAUAGGGAUUCAAGCAAAACGAAUUUCACGAUAGGAAUUCUAUCAAAACUCAAUUACGGUAUACCCUACCCCAAACGGAUUUCAACCAACUUUUUCUGAGACUUUCCUCCAGAGAUGGCGCAUAUUCGCGGGGGUAUCGGCACUUAUCUCAUACGUAUUUUUACCAUCGAUGCUGCGCUGCAGAAAUCGAUAUUAACUUGUAGAGAUAACGUGCCGUUUAACGUUCCUAUUUCCGUAAUUAUUGGCUGAACGGCGAAGGAGUGCGGAGCAAUCUAGCCGGCCGACUCGAGUUUAGGCAGUUUUUUCUACGCGAUAGGUGGCGUCUUUUGGGCAAAACUAUUGAAAAAAGGCCGCGACCUUCGUUUUUAAGGCAUGGCUUGGAGAGGCUACUCUUAUACUAAAAGCCGUGGAAUUUCUCAUAUCAUAAAUAAUAUAUACGUUGUUUCUAGUCAGAAUAGGUCUCGGCUCCGAUUACCCAAGAACCAGCUUACUGUUGGUGGAGCUUUAUAAAGAUUUUUCUUUUCCUUAUAGCUAUUGCGUACUAUUGAGCCAUGAUCAGACACAACCAAACUGGAAUGAUCUCGACCGUGUUUGCUACAUAUUCGGAAAGCCUGUGCGUGAAUCGGUGACAAACUUUAAACAUACCUACUUAACGAGUAACAUUUUGGCGACUUUGAGGGAAGCGGAUUUUAUCUGGCAAAUAAAAUAUUAAGGGAUUUGGGUUGCUAUAAGAAGCUAGCCCAGAUGGCAAACGUCUUGAUCCUUUUUCACUUUUAUCGCUAUUCUAUAGUCAACGCAUUCGAUCAUGCCAGCGAUCAGUCGUUUUUCGACCGUUUCUUUCACGGGAUUUUAUGACUGGACUUCCUGGAAUUCCUGAUUCUCAUCUGCCCCAAGAGGUUGUAGACAAGAUGGUUGAAGCCUUCUUUACUGUUCCAGGGAUUUCCAGGGUUUUGUUUGACCUGACGGCAAAACCAUCCGAGACAACGGAGUGGGAAUGAUUUGAUUUACGAACGUUGCUUAGGCAAAUCAUCUCCGCACUCUUUAUAGGACACGGAUACGGAGUUAUAUCAUUGACUAGAUAUAGAAGGGAAAUAUUAUGAACAGUGGAUUCAGUAUAGACGUUUGAAAUUGAAAAAUCAAUCAACUUUGUCGUUGCUUGAAAAUCUCUUGAACCCGCUUUUAAGAGGAUUUCACGUGAUAACUUGUUGACUAUUCCUUAAAUAUACAUGCACACUUGUUGGAAAUAAAGGGUGCAUUAGUUUUUCUUCGAAACAAAUUAAACAUUGUUAAUGUGCAGCUAGGUGGGUUGUGGUUUUAUCUCUCUUGUAUAACUACCGUUUUUCGCCAAAUUGUUAAUCUAAUUCUUUUGAAACGUUCGGAUGUCGCCCAUGCCAUUUCCUAAAACUGAAUAUUCAUAAAAUGUAUAUGUUCGCGAAUUGUUCAGAACUAUUCAGAGUGGCACCAUAAAGUAUAACUGUACGAAAGGGUACGUAGGCUUCUAAAAAUAAAGAACAGCUCUGACGUCUUUGGUAAGCGGAAAGGGUACUGCUCAUUGAAGCGUCAGAUGACGGUUUUAAGAAUGGA